GUCGAGAAUCUUUCACAAUGGGGGCAACCCUGAUGGAGCGACGCCGCGUGGAGGAUAAUGUCUUCGGAUUGUAAACUCCUGUCAUGCGUGAACAAGGUUGCUUGGUUAAUACCUGGGCAAAUUGAUGGUAACGCAAGAGGAAGAGACGGCUAACUCUGUGCCAGCAGCCGCGGUAAUACAGAGGUCUCAAGCGUUGUUCGGAAUCACUGGGCGUAAAGGGUGCGUAGGUGGCGUGGUAAGUCAGAUGUGAAAGCCCGGGGCUCAACCUCGGAACUGCAUCCGAUGCUGCCAUGCUAGAGUACUGGAGAGGUGACUAGAAUUCUCGGUGUAGCAGUGAAAUGCGUAGAUAUCGAGAGGAAUACCAAAGGCGUAGGCAGGUCACUGGACAGUUACUGACACUGAGGCACGAAGGCCAGGGGAGCGAACGGGAUUAGAUACCCUGGUAGUCC
rnacentral:rRNA from 1 species